rnacentral:lncRNA from 1 species
AUCACUGCUGUGCUCAAGGCACAGGGCUAUGGGGCAGAAGAAGCAAGGAAGUCAUAUAGACAGAGACCUGCAGUCAAUGGGGAUGCGCUCAUGAAAAUGAGGGCUAGACACAUACAGUUGUAACUACACCUUCCAAACAGCAAGAACUAGGAGGUUUCCAAGGGCAAGAGAUCCCACUCAGUUUGUGGAAGUGAUAUUGGGGGUUAUUUUUAAAGGAAAGGAGAAAGCCAGCUUCCAUAUAAGAAGUCCAACUAUCCUAAUCCCUCCAUGCUAUGAGGAGACCCAACCUAGACAUAUUGGAGAAGUCACAUAAAGAGAGAGCAUUGAUGACCAACCUCCAACUAUUCUAGCCAGCUCAACUCAUGCACCAGAUACAUAAGAGAAGAAACUACAUUGAGUAUCCAGCCCAUUUGAGACUUCAAAUGACUCCAAUCCCAACUGCCAUCUGACUACAACUGCAAGGAAGACUCCCAGUGGGAACUGACAUCCAGCAAAGCCCAAUCAACCCACAGAGCUGUGACAGAUAAUACAUUUUAAGCCACUACGUUUUAG